AUGGCCGGCGACGACCGGCUGUCGAACCUCUCCGACGACCUGCUACGGUGCAUCCUACACUUCGCGCCGGCAAAGGAGGGCGCUGCCACCAGCGCGCUCGCACGGCGUUGGCGCUCGCUCUGGCUCUCCUCCGGCGCCGUCAACCUGGACUCACGCUCCUACGACCACCUGGACGACCACGACAAGCGCGACGUCAUUGUGCGCGAUGCCAGUAAAGCGCUCGCCGCCGCCGGCGGCCGCGGUCGCCCCGUAACGAAGUUCACCUUCCGGUACGUGGAAGGAGAGGACGACCCAUGGAUCCUCUUAAGAAAGAACGACAUAGAGGAUGCGAAGCAUCACAUGUCCGGAGACCUCCGGGCCACGCUCUACAGCCAGGCGUCCCGCCACCUCGAGGAGCUCCGCCUCGGGCUCUUCUUCGGCCCGCGCAGCGACGGGCCCCGGGACCUGUACAGUUUCAGCAUCCCCUCCCUGUCGUCGGCGCCGGCGCUCCGCGUGCUGCACGUCAGCAAGUGCCUGGAAUGGGACUGGGACCGUCUCUGCCCGUCGCGGCCGGCCAGCGUGACGCCGCCGUUCCCGCGGCUGCUGGACCUACGGCUGCACCAGUGCAGCGUGUCGCUGAGCAUACUCCAGGCCGUCAUCGACGCCGCGCCGCUGCUCGCGACUCUGCAGCUCGACGGAGUCGAAUUCAGAUUACCUGCCCUACCUUCAGCGACGCAGCCCCCAGCCGCGCGGUCCAUCCUUCUCCGUGUCCCCAAGGUCACAGCCAUCGUGCUGGAGAAUAUGCACUGCUGGGGCCAUCAAGGCCAGAACACCAUGGAGCUCGACGCUCCGCUCCUGCGAUGCUUCGCCUACAGGGGGGCUGUCCGGUCACUGUCGCUCAGAUCGCCGCCGCCGGACAUGACACGAGUAGAUUUGAGCUUCCAAGUCCCAUCUGCUCGAGUUGAUACGGACGACACAAUGUGCCGACUCUUCUGGAAUUUUGUUCGUAACUUCUACGGUGCAAACACCAUCAGCCUCAAGUUCCAACUGUCACAGAAGGCAUGUCUAGGCGACUUGUGCUUUUAA
rnacentral:rRNA from 1 species